UGACUCAAUCUAUAGUCCGAAGUUUCGCUAGAAAAUUAAUAGUUUUGUCUCUCUCUUUCAUUGAAUCUCUGCCUUCGAUCUCCCUCUUCUCAACGGUUUCUCUCUCCCAUCAGCGGUCAUACUUUUCUCCAUGUCAUUUGAUUCUCUAUCUUACGCCUAAUCUCUACCGAAUUUAUGUUGCUAGUUUAUCUUUCUCGUCGAAUUUUUGUGCUAACCGUAUCUCACUUUCUCCCUUGGAACUCCGCCGUCGAAAAUAUCUCCAUUGUUUGCAAGUUUUACUUUUCCAGAAUUUGUGUAUUUUUUCUCGAGGCACCGGUAUCUUUCCGUUUUACACACG
rnacentral:lncRNA from 1 species